AAAGUAGCUACAAGAGAAUCAGUAAUAAGUAUAUAUAUUCGUACCACACCUACGAGAUAAGUUACAGAGUUUAAAUGACAAAGUACAAUGAUACUCUUUAUUGAAUAUAAAAUCGACUAUUCCAUUUGUAACUUAAGAAAACACUAAUUCCUUGCGUAUUCUAUACAUUUAAAUUAAAGCUUUCGAUUCACACAUUCUACUCGUUCGAUUUUAGUAAUUCAAUUAUGAGUUCAUCGGCUUGCAGUUAUACCAACAAUAUAAGGAUGAACAAUCGUUAAAUUCAGAUAAUUAAAGUGAAUUAACAAUAGCUUUCCAUUGUCAGCUGAUUGACAUUGGUAGUGGUACCAAUGAUUUCCAUAACUUAGCCUUGUUCAUCAUGUGCGAUGAAUAUAAAUUAUCUCAUUUUUCUCUAAAUUAGGUCUUUUACAUCAUAAUUUCGAGCUUG